AAUGCAUUAGGGGUUGUAAAUUAAAGCCAUCAGUGAUCGUUGCGAAAGACUUCACCCGACUUCUGCUGCCGCUUUGCUGACAUUUAUGUUUCAUUGUGUCCUGCUACCUCGCCAAAGGCCGAGAAGCCUUUGCAGGAUCACAGCACAAGCUCCUGCAGCCAAUGUUGGGAGCCGAAAGCCAACACAACAUG